ensembl:lncRNA
GGUGUUCUGUUUCUGAAGUGCCCUGCCCAAGGGCUCCGGAGCACACUGCGUGCAAUCCAAACAGCCAGCAGACAAAGCUGUUCCAGGUGAAGUGCCCGAGCGUGAUGACGUGGCAGAGAGCUGCAGGGAAGCGUUUGCAAUUGAGUCCCAAAGGAAGAAGGCUUUGUCUGAAAACCCACCGUCUGCAGGUGGUGGCUGAGUGUCAAGGUCGGGGCUGUGCCCCUCUGCCUGCACGGUGCCUCUGUGCUGAUCACCCUGCUUGGCUGAAGGAGAUGCAAAGGGGGAGAAGCAGAGGGUUCUGUCUGUCUGUCAGCUGCCUUCAGAAGGGUCCUGCUGGCUCCUUGCCUCUGCUCGGAUCGUGGAGCUGUUGCUCUGAGCUGCAGAGAUGCUGUACCGAAGCUCUGACAUGCUGAGCCCUGUCCAAUUCCUCCAAAGCACGCUGUUCCAUGUACCUUUGAGAUGCCAGCUCCUCCAGGGUGAGGUGGGCUGUGCAGCAGAGCUGUCCCCGCUCACACUGUAAUCCUCAGCCCUCAGCUGUCAGCGUCUCGGAUGAGUUCUUGGAGGGUAUCCAGACAAACACAGGAGAGAUUUCAACUGCUGCGAUCCCCUGUCCUAUUUUAUCUCAUUUCUGACAGCCCAUGUCUGCUGAGGCUGGGAAGUGGUGAGGAGACGAGAGCAGCUUCCUGCAUUUGUGGAUGGAGAAGCACUCCUUCCUCUGACAGCCUGCUUGCUUUGCCUGUUUCCUGCAGUACUGAUGCACUGUCUCUUGCCUUCUGGACCAGCUGCAUCUUCAGGACAACGUCCCAGAUGGCUCUUUUAGGGAAAGAAAUCAGAGACUGAUUGGUGGCCAAAAAAAGUCUCUCAUCCAGUAUCAAAGCUUUAGCUGCACCUUAUGCUUCCCAAGGACGGCUUGGAAAGGGCACAGUGGAGCUGCUGCUGAUCCUCUUGCACCGGGCUCAGGGGGUAUCUGGAGAAACCCUGUGUUUCCAGAUAAGGACGUGCUGGAUUUACAGUUGCCUACCACUGUUAAUGCAUCCUCGUCUGCGUGGUCGUGUGAAGGUUGCUUUCCCGUUGACCAGAGGGAGACCCGUGGCUCAUCUGUGCACCCUUCUUAGAGCUGCUGAAGAGACUCAGAAUGGGGUGAUGGCCCCAUGCUCCUUCCUGGGGUCUCCUCUUCCUCAAGAGCCAGCGCAGGCCAGCUAAUGUCCAGGUGCAAAGGGUGCACCGCCCUCUGCCAUGCCAUCUACCUGGUGAUAUCAAGGCCAAGAGCGUCACGUUCUGGAUGUUCAUAAAUUACAAGGGAAACAGCUUUCUUCCUUCACCCCUUGAACUUUUAUUCAUUCCUCCAUUGUGUUAAUGAAUACGUGGUCUAAGCUGUAUGUCAGUCCCUGUUCUUGCGUGCUGUAGAUGAGGCUGGCUUGUCAGCGCUUGGCCUCCUUUUGCCAUCAGCUCGAGCGGAGCUGUUACACGUUAGUUCUCCAGCAGCAUUUUGAUUACCUCUCAUAACACAACGCUGUCAAUGCAGACUGACCAAUACAGCAAUUCAAUGAGCGUGUUGCUCUUGACAAGCCUUAUUUGCCCUGGAUAAGUCAGGUGGAAUAUCUUCAGCUGCAGGUAAUAGGCAGUAACAUCCUCUCUGUGUGUUAGCUGAAGGUUUCCUGGUCUCUGUUUCACCCGAAGGGGCUUCCUUGUCUCCACUGCAGCAGGAUGCAGAGCCUGAACUAACUCUGAGCAAGGAACUGUGGAGUCCAGAAACAGCAGCUCUGCUUUAAGUGAGGCUCUUGCCCUGGGUAAUCAUCCCAUCCUGAGAAGCACAACGUACUAUCUCAGGCUUCUUCCUAAGGUGUGUUGACCAACGUGCAUUUGAUGUCUUGGAGCUGCCCUGGCAGUGUGUGGGCCAUCAUCCUCAGUGGGGAACCAGAGACAGCAAUCACUGCUAAGUGCCAGAUGAUAGCAUGUUUUGCCGGCUGCUUUGAUGCAUUAUGUUUUCCACCAUCUGUAUUUGCACUGCGUUGGAGGCUUGCUUGCCCUGCAAGGGCUGGGCUGCGAUCCCUCCAGCACUGUGAGCAGCCGGGUGUGGUGUUUAGAGGGUGGAGAGGAGACGUCAAGCUUUCUUGCUUUGCUAUGCCCAUGCCUUGUCUCCCCACACUUGCUCACUUCUCCAAAUAUUGCUGCUCUCAAUGAACUCUUAGCAGCUGUCAGUCCCCGUUCCUGAAGCGAUGUGCAGUUCUGAGCUCCCUACAGGUUGGGAUGGUCCUUGUGCUGGCUGCUCCCUGCUCCAAUCCUUGGCCUGUUGUGCUUUUUUAGCCUGCAAAGCCUCCUUCCCAAAUGCUUCUGAAGAAGCCAAAGCAGGGUCUGCUCUGGCAGAAAGAAGCCUGCAGACCUGGAUCCUCUCCCCUCAGCCACUGCAGCCCUGGAUGGUGUUUAUUGGCAGGCAUCGCUCCCAGUGCUCCUGCUCACCUCGUGCUCUCCCAGGAGGAACAAGCUUCACAUGAUGGCUUUGGAAAUAAGUCAGGGCAUGUGUCUUGGGCAGAACGAAAGGAGCUGGAAACCUGAGCUUUGUUUGCAUGCACGUUGUUCCUGGCUUUGGCAGGGAUGAGCCCUGACUCCGUGCAGCUGCCGUGACUGGUUUACUGGGCACAGCAUGAGGUCCCUCCUCCUUGAAGGACAUUCACUGUAUUUUGAAGCCACGACCGCCGGCAGAGGUAAGAUUCGUGCUUCCUGAGAGCAGCAAGCUUUUUCUGCUUGCCUCCCAGCUUGCCAGCUUGGGUGAACAGCUCUGCAGGAGGGCAAGGAGGGGAGCUGCAUGCAAUUACCUGCGAACACUGGGAAGCGGUGAGAGGUCCCGCUAUCAGCCACGGCCCAGCUGUACCGAGUGAGCCUGCUCCCACUAUCCUUGGCUCCUGCAGAUGCACGUGAACCAGGCUGGCUGUGUGCUCCAGGUGGAGGAGAAAAGGAGCCUUUCAUCUGCUCCUCACAGAGCAGGCUGGCAGCCAGCUCACGCCUGCUGUUUGGUUCCCUCUGCCACAGCCGGAUCGGGGAGGUGGGAGCUGAGCAGCUGUGCCCCUCCCCAGGGGUCAGCCCAGGGUGGGAAAUGUUAGGGAUGGGCUCUGCUCCCUGUGUUAGCAAUCAGAUUGGGCUGUGGUGUCACACAGGGGGUCCCUCCUGGAGCCGCUCCCACGAGCCAGGUGAAAGCUAGCUGAUUUAUCAGGUGCUCUUUGGGCUGUGCACCCUUCCCAGUGUCCUUGGGUAUGCGAGCCUGGAUGCAGGCCCUUCUCCUGCCCUUCACAAGGUGUCUCUCCUUCCUACAUGGACACCCUUGCUCCCCGUCGCUGCGGCAGCAUCCUCCUGUGUUGCUGUCUCAGCUGUGCAGGCUCUGCCAAGGCAAUGCUUCCCCUCCUCCCUGCCCACCGUGCUGUGCCAGCGAGCCCAAACCCACUGUGCUGGUCUCCUGAUUUGUUUUGGUUCAUGUUCCAGACGAGGAUAAAGUGGCAGAUAUUUCUGUGCAGCGAUAGGAUCUCACCAGCCAGCCUUGCUUUAAUGCGAUCCCAGGCAUUCGAGGUGCCCGAUUACCUUAUCUCCCCUCUGCAGAUAUACCUUACUCACCCCUCUCAACCUAAAAACGAGCCAGCCCGGGUGGGAGCUGCAGAAACUCGGCCUCUGCAGCCCUGCAGGCAAAUGGUCGGGCAGAAAGCAGUGAGUGAGGCUCCCACCCUGUGUGCUUUUGCUGCAUGAGGUUCCCUUCUUUCUGCUUGCAGCUCUGUGCUGCAGCGGGGUGGCUGGGAAGGCUGCGUCACAGCUGACUCACAGUGCUGGCACGGCGGGAGCCCCACGCACUGGUUGCCCCCCACUCACUGGUUGCCCCCCAGCUCCACAGGGGCACCUGUUUGCUCCCUGGCUUUGCAGUUCAGCAGUCCCUGAGAUGGGCCUGAGGUUGCUGCACGCAGGGGCAGUGAGGCUGUGCCUCGUCCCAGCCUUCCCAGCUGCAUCUUGCUGCUCUCCCUCUGUCACAUGAGCAUUACACCAUCUCUCCCUUGGAGAAUGAGCGUGGAACGUGUCUGGUUGCCAGAGCAAAGUGAAAUCUGCUCCAGCUUCAAACGCAUGCAAUCCCAAGCUGUGCGCUUUGGGUAAAUGCUAAAUCCUAUCUCUGGUUCAUAAAGAGGGGAGAUUGAUGCUGAAGCACGGCGUGGGCACCAAACACCCCAUGCUUUGCAGCUCUCGGGUCUCCUGGAAGCUCCUUGAUUCAAAGGGAAACGUCCCCAGCCAGUGUGAGUCACAGGGCAUAGGUGGGCCGGGUCAGCCCUGAGCAAACACUCAGAUAUAGGGGUGAGGAUUGCUCCAUCAGAUGGCCAAAAAGCUGUUGGUGGCAGAACAGCCUCUGCGAGCAGGCAGUGCAGAAAAAUAAGUGCAAAAUGGAAGGGGGGAGAGAGAGGGGGGGGAGCUGGAAAUCCACGGCUCAACAGCAGCUCAUCCAAUACAGAGCCUUGAAAAGAUAGGGAUUUUGAAGGGAGGUGAAAAGAUGUAAUGAGAAACUGCAUGGGAAUUUCUAGCAGUGAGGAGGAGGAACUGAAUGAUAGCAUAUUGGGAGGGGGGGGGGGGGGGAGGAGGGAAGAGUCCAAAAGCUCUUAGCUAUAGGAAUAUAGGAAUUGGGAGAGUGGAGUGCAUGUUUUUGUAAUCUGAUGGGGCUGAUGCCAUUCCCACGUGAUGUGCAUGGAUCUGCUUCCAUUCCUGCAGCACUGGGCAGUGCAGGGGCUCUGGGUCACCCCCAUUGCCUGUGCCCAGGUCCUGAGCUCCGGGCAGCACAGCUCAGCUGCCCACCAGCUCCGUGGAAUAUGGUCGAUGGAGGUUUUUCUUUUUGUGGGGUUAUGUAAUGAUUGACCUCGUGGAAAUGGGUCUUAUGAAAGCAUGGAAUCGGCUUAGCUUGCGGACGGCUCGAGCUGCCACGCAGGAGAUGCUAUCGAUGCUGUUAGGAAUUCACACUUUUGUACGGUUGGAAAGCAUUUGACUCCACCUCAUUGUGUCUUGGCUGGACAAAUAGGCCUGGGUCACAGCUAUAUCUUUCCCUGGACCAGGCUGAGCUGUGUGCCAGCAGCCGGCUGACUCACAGAGCAGCUCCAGGUCUGCCCGUGGCCGUGCAGCCGGAGCUAUCGUGCCUGCCUCUGCCAUAGGAGCCCCGUGUGCAGGAGCUGCAGGGAGGAGAGGCAGCGCUCUGCCAUCCUUCUGAGCAGAGCAGAUGAACCCACACCUAAUUGCUUUUAAAAACUCCCUGUUGCUAUGGUGACUCAACAAGCGUGAUGCUCUCAAGUGCUUCUCUCCACUCCCAGGUCUUGCGUUGGCACCGGGAAGCUGUGUGUGUACCUAUGUACGUACAUCUGCUUUCUUCCAGCUUUCAAAGGUGGCAUCCAGUCCCCUUGGAGCGUGAGCAGAAUCCCUUCUGAGCUGGGGAAAGGUUUGCUUGAAAGGUCUUGUAAUAAGGUUAAGGAGAGGCCAGCAGCCGCUCGCCCUGCUGCUGAGCACUUCAGUAGCUAAAUUUAGUCCCUUGAGUCAUUACUGAGUCAGCAAAUUGGGGGCAGGAAAUCUUGAUUUCUCUUCUCUUCCUUUUUCAUCAGCGACGGAUCCAAGACGGGCUCCACACUGCUUUCUCUCUCAAUCCAGCACGCUGCCUCCCGCACUGCUUUCCCCUGGAGCAUCCUUGAGCCUGGCCAGAAGAAGUCAGAGCUCCUUUCCUCUCUGCUGCAGCCACCUGCCCUGACAAGUGGCCUGUCCUCGGGGAAGCGGCAUCGUUUCCUAUCGUUAGUGAUGCGGGGCACGGGAAGCUGUGUCCACUCAGCUUUGUCUCUUGCUGGGUGCACACUGGCCGAGGCCGGUGGCAGCUCAUGCAUCCCCUGGAGCUGCCUUGAAACCCAGUGAUGGGUAAAGAAACCCCAUCCAGCUGCUCUUCUCUGUGCCUGCGAGUGCCUCAGCAUGGUGAAUAGCAACGGAAGAGCUCAGGAGAAACAAGCAUGAGUGGUAGAAAUAAGCAGCAUCAAGAGAUCCAGGUACGCUAGACUGACGGAGCUGUGCAGCAGCCCUGCCUUGUUCAGAAUGGCCUAUCCCUCACUGCCUGCUGGCCAAGGGGCACCCAGCAGGGAUGUGGCCUGGCAGAGAGAUGCCUGCAGGCAGCUGGCUCCUUCCAUGCAUGCUGUAGGCCUCAGGGUCACCGGGAGGCUGUGAGACCCUGGGCUGGAGCAGGGUUGUCCAGGCAGCUCAGCAUUGCCCCUGGAAAGCAAAUCCUGGCAGCGGAGCCCCUAUUGCUAGCUGAUGGUAUCAGUUUGUAUUAGAUCCCACUGAGCGUGUUUUACGUAAUUUGUUCCCCAGAAUGAAGUGUUUUUACAAAUGCAGCAUUUAAUCACCUUUUAAGAAGGAAUGAAAAAUCACCUUCCUCCCCAGGGCUAGGGAGGAAGCUAGAAGGCAAUCAGGGAGGCGCUCUCCCCGCAGCACUCAGUGGGCUGGGAAGCCCAGCUAACCUGGGCUUGGACUGGAAGAAAUCUGAGGGCUCAAAGAGCCAUGGCUUCUGUCCCUGGUGGGGGCACCCAAAAGCAGGAAUCGCUCCGGGUUCCUCUGCAGGAGAAGGGAGCACCGCCGGGCUCUGGUUUGCUGAAGGGGUGCUCGCAAACCACACCACUUCUCAGCGCCUACCUGGGGAUAAAUCAGUGCUUGCUGGACGAUGAAGGGCAAAGCGGUGCUGCCUGCCCUGCCGUGGCUGCUGAGGAUGGAUGCUGUGCAGCUGACUGUGCACCGCAGCCUGGGCUGGGCUGGGGGCUGCCGCUCUCACUCUCACUUCUUUAUUCACAGCAAGCGAAGGAUGAAAAAUCAGAGUAACGGCCAAGGAGACGACAUCCACUUGACUUCUCUUGCCCGUGGUGUGAGCAAUUAAUCCAGCUAAGGCAUGGCAGUGGAAUGAGGCCAGGAGCAGCAGGAGGACGGCGCUGCACCGGCAGCAGCAAGCGGGACCGGACAUCUUCCUCUGCCACGCUGCCCCGACCUUUGUGGUGAGGUUGUGCAUGGAGAAAUGUGCUGAACCACCCCGUUGCCAUGGAAACCAAGGCCGAGAGGGGACCAGCCUGCUCCUGCUAAUUGCUGUGGCUUUGUGACCCCAUCCGUCCAUCCUGCUGCCUCCCGUGAGCCUGUCCGAAUGCACAGCGCUGGCCCCAUCCUGCAUCAUCCUGCCCUUUGGCUCCCAGCCCCAAUGCUGUGAGCACGAUCUGGGGUUCCUCUUUCUCUCCUUUGUGUUGUCACAACCUGCACAAGAUCAGUUAAAAUCCGUGGCUUGAGCAUCCCUGCAGCCCAUCACCCCGUGCAUGCACAUCUGCCUGCAUGCUUGUUGCAGGAGCACGGUGGCGGUGCAGUGAUGCACCUCCCUUGCCCUGCAUCCCGGGCUGCCCUGCCUUUAUCUCGUCCAAUUAAAUAACUGCAGAUAGUGGGCUUAAUAAGGCCCUGCUAUGAAAGAUUACUGACGAUUUCUUUCCCAACGUGCGGUGAAUUAGGAGGCAGUGAGCAGGGAAAGGACUGCUGCUAAUUACAGUCCCCCAUGUCCCCUCUGCUGCCACCACUGCUGCUGGGCCCCUCGCUGCUCCCUGCACCUGAUUGCAUUUUGCUGCUGGUUGUGGCCAAUUUGCAGCUCUCAGCUGCUGCUGCUUCUCCCUUCCCCCCACACCCCCUGCUCCUCUUCGAGUUUAUUAAUGAAAACCUUAUCUGUCGGUGCAGAUAAUGCCAGAAAUAAUUAGUGCACACGGAGGGCUGGCAGGCUGCUCUCUGCUCCCACCACCCACACCCUCUCCUCUCACUGUUUACAGUUUCCUGUGCUGCUUGGGGCUGCUUUUUGGGUUUUUAAGCCUCCUUGCUCUGUACAGAUUUAUUUGCUUCUCUCUCUCUCUCCAAGUUUUCCUUGCUCAGAAAGAGACAGACAGACCUGAGGCACAGAUGCAUCCUAAAGAGCUUGACCUUAAGCACCUGGGCUGCAGGUGCCCUGACCUUAUGGCUGCUGGAAAUGGGGAGCUGCCCCCCAAUGCCCAAGAGCAGGGAUUGCAUUUGCUCCUGGCAUGCUCUGGUCAGGUCAUGGCCCUGCUCCUGCUGCGCCAGCGCCGUCCUCGCUUUGCUCGUGCUCCCUUUCAUUACACUUAGCAUCAUUGUCUCUUGGCUUAAAUCUUUCAGCCUGAUAAAGGACGACAGCGCUGCUCGAGUGCCUGGGAUGGCAUAAAUAAUUCCAGUGCUGAGAGAGAUUUACAGCUAUAUAAAUGUCAGGAGUGAGCCCAGUUUGUAUUAAUGGCCUUAUUAGUUACAUUGCUGUAAAAUACAGAUCCUCCAAUUGUUAAGCGGCCGUGGUUUUGGUCCACAGCAUUAAUCCAAUAAAUUUGGGCUUCUCAAUACGAAUCUUCGUCUCUGAACCCCACUGGAAAAUCCUUCAUGGUAUGUCAGAGAGCUUUAAAUGGCUGUGGCUGAGACAGAGGUGGGAAUAACAGAGCUGGUGGGAGCGCAGGUGUAAGGCAGUGCAGCAGCCCAUCCCCACCCAAGGGCAUGGGAAGUGUGGAGGUCCCUUGGCCGUGAGGAGCUGUGGGGUGGGAUUGGUGCUUUUGUCACCAGCUUGGAAACCACAGCCCAACCCAAGAGCUCCCAUGGCUCUGAGAUGUCCGUCCGUCCUUCCCACCCUGCUGCCAUCCCUCCCUGUUCCCUGGUGCAUCUCGUAUGAGGACGUUCUGCAACUCUGCAAACUUUCCACCAGCGACCUGCCAAGUGCAUGGGGAGGGAGAGGGGAAAGCACCACGAUAAUUGAAAAUAAAUGGUGCAUUAUAUGAAAUAAAUGUUCUGGUGCAGCCAGCUUGCUGUCGCUGAUUAUUUAUUUGUUACUUGCAAAUGCUUUGAGGAGGUGCCUGGGGAAGAGGGGUUUUGGAGAUAAAGUGGUGAUGCCUUCGUGCAGAGGGAGCUAUGGGGCAUGGGAGGCUGUGUGCGUCCUGCAGCAACGGCAGGGGGACAGCCACAGCCAUUGGAGCAGAGAUGUCAUUGCCAUGAGGAGAGUCCAGAGUGCGAACCCAAUGUUUCAGGGCAUGUUGG